rnacentral:rRNA from 1 species
CCUACGGGAGGCUGCAGUGGGGGAUAUUGCACAAUGGGGGAAACUCUGAUGCAGCGACGCCGCGUGGGCGAAGAAGUAUUUCGGUAUGUAAAGCCCUAUUAGCAGGGAAGAAGAAAUGACGGUACCCGAGUAAGAAGCACCGGCUAAAUACGUGACAGCAGCCGCGGUAAUACGUAUGGUGCAAGCGUUAUCCGGAUUUACUGGGUGUAACGGGAGCGCAGGCGGUAGGGCAAGCCUGAUGUGAAAGCUCGCGGCCCAACCGCGGGACUGCAUUGGGUACUACCGGGCUAGAGUGCCGGAGAGGUAGGCGGAAUGCCUGGUGUAGCGGUGAAAUGCGUAGAGAUUA